rnacentral:lncRNA from 1 species
CACUAUUUCUGCUACUCAAGGGUUGGCAGGUCUGGACACUUUGUCUGGAAAUUGGAAGCUAUUAGUUUGUUGCUAAUUAACUUUUCAAGUGUCUAUUUUUCAUCUUACUUCUCAUCUUCAGAUAUAAUUAAUUUUCUCACGGUGAUAAUUGCAGGUUAAUCAUAUCGCCUGUUGCAAACUAGUGAAGCCUGCUAAUCACUAAACUUACAUCAAGACCUCGGAAAAAAGACAACAUAUUUCUGCAGACAGGAAGAAGGAUUAAAAAGCAAUUAAAGUUGAUGACAGCUGCUGCCCCUCUUGCCCAGGGCAGUCCACCCUAGUAAGAAUAAAAUUACCAUCAUCAAAAUAAUAUUCACAAACUCAUUAAUAAUUCAUCAGGAAAAUACAAAGAAAAAUCAUAAGCAUGUCAUUAUAUGUGAUAGAGAUUUCCCUUUAUUUACAUAAACUUUAAAAUAAAGAUUUUUGAAAAUUACUUUGCCAGUGAACUUACUAGAUCGAUCGUUUUUGAAGCAAUUUAAAACAUUUGCAGUGUGUGUUUUAUCAGACCUAAAGAUACUCGGCUUUGCCUCGUAUCUUUAUAUCUGAUAAAACACUGCUGCUAAUGUUUUAAAUACUACAUAACAUACUGGGGACAUUUUUGUUUCAUGCACAUGUUUGAGAAUGGGCUUAUUGGGAGGGCUCGUUGAGUGUAUCUAAAAGUCGAGGGUCGAGAGUCAAGAGUAAAGGUCGAGAGUAAAAGUCGAGAGUCGAUCAAGAGUAAAAGUCGAGAGUCGAUCAAGAGUAAAAGUCGAGAGUCGAGAGUAAAAGUCGAGAGUAAAAGUCGAGAGUCAAGAGUAAAGGUCGAGAGUAAAAGUCGAGAGUAAAAGUCGAGAGUAAAAGUCGAGAGUAAAAGUCGAGAGUAAAAGGUCGAGAGUAAAAGUCGAGAGUCGAUCGAGAGUAACUGAAAAGUUGAGAGUCGGCAAAUGUCAUCAGAAACAACAAAGUCAAAAUAUUUUUAACCACGUUUAACACAAUCUAUAUAUAGCU